GUUAAACAUUUGUUGAUUGGUUGAAUUUAAGGUGCGCGGGUUUCAUUCUCUAUCGUACUCUGAACCGUUAGCGUCACUUGAAAAUUACUCCCGGGUGUAGAGUACUGUUACACAAACAAGUUUUUGAAUCUCGGAAGUUUUUAAAAGCUCACGAUGGCAGCAAGGAAAGCAGCAGCAAAGUCUCCAGCAAAGAAGGCGGCAGCAAAGCCAAAGAAGGGCGUGAAGAAAGGAGGUGUAAAAAAAGCAAAGAAGGCAGCCCCUGCAAAGAAGGCAGCAAAGAAAGGAGCAAAAAAAGCAGCAAAGAAGACCGGAAAAGGAAAGAAGGCAGCGAAGAAGUGAAGCUAGCUCCAUUUCAUCGCAAUGCCUUGUCAUCAUCCAGCCAUUACUGUUCAUUCAUCUGUUGUCUUUCUUGUUGACUGAGGCGGGUGUUUUGUAAUGACAUUUUAGUAAUAUAUGUUUUAUUGACUGUAGAUAAUUUAUGAAAUGUAGAUUUUUAUUCUUUUAAAAAAUAUGGAUCUGGACAUUAGCCUGCAUCGUUUCACGCAUGCUUAAACAUGUAAUGAUUUUUUUAAGCCAUGAACAUUAAUUUGGAAAAAGAAAAAAAAAAUCCACCUCAUAUUUAUCAACGGAAUCCGUUGCAGAAA